GAUCCUGCGCCGAAGAUUUCCGGGGCUAAAACUUACUACCGAAGCUACGGCAUCAUUAUGAUGGGUAGGGGAGCUUCCCAUACGGGUUGAAGCAUGACCGUAAGGACAUGUGGACAGUAUGGGAGUGGGAAUGUUGGCAUGAGUAGCGAGAUGUGGGUGAGAAUCCCACAGGCCGUAAACCCAAGGUUUCCAGGGGAAGGUUCGUCCGCCCUGGGUUAGUCGGGACCUAAGCUG
rnacentral:rRNA from 1 species